GGCAACCAAAGAAAUUGGAGAGUUCUUGGGAAAUAAAUUGCGACUGGCUUGGGGAAUAAAAAAUGGCUAUUGGCUGCUACCAUAAGAGAUACAUACACACAGAGGGUAGCCAAGAGUAUUAUUAAAUUCAAGCACGGAAAGUGAGGCGAGUUUGGAGUGAAUUAGCGGCUAUAGGCACGAAAAUCGAAGCAAAGAAAACUGUUGAAUUAAUAAGGCUGCCGACUGCUAAAAUUUAUCUACAUACACAUGGAAAUUUCGACUGCUGGGUGAAGGAAUUAGGUUGCUUACUGCUGAAAUCAAUACACAUGCAAACAGAGACGAGAAAGAGAGAAUUACACAAACAGAGUUGUACGGUUGGAGCAUAAUUGAAAAUUUAUUCAAGUUCCAUCAAUUCCCUAUGAUGAAUUUCCUAUUAAACUUGUGUUUUCCUCCAUUAUUAUGCGUAGCUAAAUUUGAUUUAGGGCGAACAACGUAACUUGUUUGGAAUCCUUUAUUUCGUUGAAUUAAAAUUCUAG
rnacentral:lncRNA from 1 species